rnacentral:rRNA from 1 species
GCUUAACGCGAAGAACCUUACCCACACUUGACAUGCCUCUUUUGGCUUUCAGAGAUGAUUGCCUUCGGUUCGGCCGGGGAGUGCACAGGUGCUGCAUGGCUGUCGUCAGCUCGUGUCGUGAGAUGUUGGGUUAAGUCCCGCAACGAGCGCAACCCUUAUCGUAUGUUGCCAGCAUUUAGUGGGGCACUCGUGCGAGACUGCCGGUGAUAAGCCGGAGGAAGGCGGGGACGACGUCAAGUCAUCAUGGCCCUUACGUGUGGGGCUAGAAACGUGCUACAAUGGGAGUGACAGUGAGCAGCAAGGUCGCGAGGCCAAGCUAAUCUCCAAAAGCUCUCUCAGUUCGGAUUGUUCUCUGCAACUCGAGAGCAUGAAGUUGGAAUCGCUAGUAAUCGCGGAUCAGCAUGCCGCGGUGAAUACGUUCC